CAGCACCUCAAGUUGUCAGGAUGAUUAUUGGGCCUAAAGCAUCCGUAGCCGGCUCUGUAAGUUUUCGGUUAAAUCUGUAUGCUCAACAUACAGGCUGCCGGGAAUACUGGAGAGCUAGGGAGUGGGAGAGGUAGACGGUACUCGGUAGGAAGGGGUAAAAUCCUUUGAUCUAUUGAUGACCACCUGUGGCGAAGGCGGUCUACCAGAACACGUCCGACGGUGAGGGAUGAAAGCUGGGGGAGCAAACCGGAUUAGAUACCCGAGUAGUCC
rnacentral:rRNA from 1 species